CAAAAAAUUUGACAAAAUUAUGAUAAAUAUAUCAAAAUUAUAUGUUAUAUUAGAAAACGUACAAAUUAUGUGUUAAGAACAAAUCAGAAGUAUCGCAUUCAUCAGAAAUUUGUCUAGAUUAACAGACAUAAGUCAGAAAUAUUUCAAAAUUGUCUGUAAUUAUUGAAUAUAGCGUAAUAUAACGUUACAUUUACAUAUGCAGGAUUAUAUUUACUAUGAGUUGGUGGUAGAUAUAUUAGACCCGAAGAAACGUCGCUGUGGCAUAAAAUUCGAAACCUUACAAAUGGUACCAUUACACCUCAAUUUAUAUAAUUAUGUAGAUUGAGCAGUAUAUAUAAUUGUAAUAAAGGAGAAGUUAUAAUUUA